rnacentral:misc_RNA from 1 species
GUGACUCAGACGACUUUGCAAGAGCGAGAUUACAAGAAAUCUCUUAGCCGGUUGGAAGAGAUGAAAAGAGCUUUUACGAUGAUAAGCAAAAAUAGCAACAUGAACAAGGGUGAAUUUUGGUGGGAUCUACCGAUCGAUAACAUGGAGAAGGAAGAGCUUGAAAGUUAUAGGGAAUCUCUGGAAGAGUUGAAAAAGAAUGUAAUGACAAGGAUUGAGGGGAUGGCUGCCCAUAAUGCUGCGGGUGAGUCUAGUAUUAUUAACCAGUU